rnacentral:rRNA from 1 species
UUGUACUGUGCUAUGAACUGGAAGCAGGUGGGAAACUGCGCGAUAAGGGUGAGAGCCCCGUACAGGCAAAGAAUACAGGCAUAGUGGUAUCCUGAGUACCGCGGGACCGGAGAAAUCCUGUGGGAAUCCGCCAGCACCAUCUGGCAAGGCUAAAUACUCCUGAGAGACCGAUAGUGGACCAGUACCGUGAGGGAAAGGUGAAAAGAACCCCGAACAGGGGAGUGAAAAGAACCUGAAACCGUGUGCUUACAAGCGGUCGGAGCGGAGCGAUUCCGUGACGGCGUGCCUUUUGCAUAAUGAGCCUACGAGUUACUCUUGUCCGGCAAGGUUAAUGGCUUAAGGCCAGGAGCCGAAGCGAAAGCGAGUCUGAACAGGGCGCACAGUCGGACGAGGUAGACGCGAAACCUUGUGAUCUACCCUUGGGCAGGUUGAAGGUGCGGUAACACGUACUGGAGGACCGAACCGAUAAACGUUGAAAAGUUUCCGGAUGACCUGAGGGUAGGGGUGAAAGGCCAAUCAAACUGGGAAAUAGCUCGUACUCCCCGAAAUGUUUUUAGGAACAGCGUCGGCAUGGAGUCUAGCAGAGGUAGAGCUACCGAUUGGGUGCGGGGGAGUCAAAUCCUACCAAAUCCAGACGAACUCCGAAUGCUGCUAGAUAUGGCCGGCAGUGAGGCUUUGGGUGCUAAGGUCCAAGGCCGAGAGGGAAAGAACCCAGACCAUCAGCUAAGGUCCCCAAAUCCGUUCUAAGUUGAACUAACGAGGUCCGGUUGCCCAGACAGCUAGGAUGUUGGCUUGGAAGCAGCCAUUCAUUUAAAGAGUGCGUAACAGCUCACUAGUCGAGCGGCCGGGCGUGGAUAAUAAACGGGCAUCAAGAACGGUACCGAAGCUAUGGAUUGCAAUUUAUUGCACUGGUAGGGGAGCAUUCCAUCGGGGGCGAAUCCGCGGGGCGACCCGUGGUGGACCUGAUGGAAAAGCAAAUGUAGGCAUAAGUAACGAUAAGGCGGGUGAGAAACCCGCCCACCGAAAGACCAAGGUUUCCUGAUCAACGCUAAUCGGAUCAGGGUCAGUCGGGACCUAAGGCGCAUCCGAA